UACGAAGGGGGCUAGCGUUGCUCGGAAUCACUGGGCGUAAAGGGUGCGUAGGCGGGUCUUUAAGUCAGGGGUGAAAUCCUGGAGCUCAACUCCAGAACUGCCUUUGGUACUGAAGAUCUUGAGUCCGGGAGAGGUGAGUGGAACUGCGAGUGUAGAGGUGAAAUUCGUAGAUAUUCGCAAGAACACCAGUGGCGAAGGCGGCUCACUGGCCCGGUACUGACGCUGAGGUGCGAAAGCGUGGGGAGCAAACAGG
rnacentral:rRNA from 1 species